UCUCUUCUUCUCUCUUCUUCUUCU
rnacentral:snRNA from 1 species